rnacentral:misc_RNA from 1 species
CAACCCAUCAAGCCUAGCGCUUGUGUUGGAGCCCUGCGGCCGCCGCAGCCUCCUAAAAUCAGUGGCGGGCUCGCUAUCACGCUGAGUGCAGUAGUAUUCUUCUCACUCCUGUUGUGUAGCGGGUAACCAGCCGUAAAAACCCCCAUAUUCAAA